UAUUUGAGUAUCUCGGCUUGUUUUGCAGCCGAGUUAUUGUUUGCAUGUAUUCAAUGGGCACAACUCCCAGGUGACAUCUCUUGAUUUUCAUCCAAAGAAGACAGAUCUCCUCUGCUCUUGUGAUGGCAAUGGUGAAAUUCGGUUAUGGAGUGUCAGCCAGUUUUCAUGCUCACGUGUUUCUAAGGGUGGUACAGUGCAAGUUAGGUUUCAGCCUUACAUUGGACAGUAUUUAGCAGCAGCAGCGGAAAAUGUGGUGACUAUUUUUGAUGUUGAGACAGACAGAAAGAUAUACACAGCGGAAAAUGAUGGGGGCUUCUACUCGGCCAUCAUUAAAGUUAAUUGUUUAAUGUGCAAUAGAAUUAUUGAAGCCUUCUGUUUGUUAUAAUUAUUAUAUUGCUAUAUUGUAUUUGAAGAAUAGUUGGAAGAAGGAACAAAAAUUGUACCUUAUGCAUCAUGCAGGUUAUAUACUAGUAUUAUCUUUAAAAUAUA